rnacentral:other from 1 species
CCACCAGGGGCGCCGCCGCCGCCGGCGCUCGCAGGCCGCGGGUGAAGAAGGUUCGUCCCCGCUCGACGCGGAGCGAGAAGGUGACCCAGGCCGAGGAAGCGCCCCGGGCCAAGGAGGAGACCCGGGCGGAAGAGGUGGCACCGACUGGAGAGGUGACCCAAGCCCAGGAAAUG